GACGAACGCUGGCGGCGUGCUUAACACAUGCAAGUCGAACGGAGCGAAUGAAAGCUUGCUUUUAUGAGCUUAGUGGCAAACGGGUGAGUAACACGUAGACAACCUGCCGACAGGAUGGGGACAACAUUCCGAAAGGAAUGCUAAUACCGAAUGAAGCGGAGGAGAGGCAUCUCUCUUCCGUGAAAGAUGGCCUCUAUUUAUAAGCUAUCACCUGUCGAUGGGUCUGCGUCUGAUUAGCUAGUUGGUGAGGUAGCGGCUCACCAAGGCGACGAUCAGUAGCCGGUCUGAGAGGAUGAACGGCCACAUUGGACUGAGACACGGCCCAGACUCCUACGGGAGGCAGCAGUGGGGAAUCUUCCGCAAUGGGCGCAAGCCUGACGGAGCAACGCCGCGUGAGUGAAGAAGGUCUUCGGAUCGUAAAGCUCUGUUGACGGGGACGAACGUGCGAAGGGUGAAUAAUCC
rnacentral:rRNA from 1 species